rnacentral:misc_RNA from 1 species
UUAAAUAUUAUAUAUUACUCAGACAAUACAAAAUCAAGAGUUUAGGGUCCUCUGGCAGGCACUAACCAGCUGAUGCCGGUAGUCAAAAGACAGGCCUGCCAAAGCAACAAAGGUAUAGUAAACAAAGGGUGGGAGAUCUACCCUAAGGGGCAAGUUCUCUGUAAUGAUCCUUCCGCAGCGGAAGUGUAGCUGCUACUUCUAGCAGCCUCCCGAUCAUGUCUUAACCCUGAGGGCCACCUCCAUUUGACCUGUGAGCCUAUAACUAGGCUGCUAGUAUGACGCAUAGCGUCAAUCCUAGCAUGAUGGAGAUGUUGCCUGCAAAUACAGACUUUAUGUUGGCGAACCUGCAAAGAUGUUCACCUACGGAAA